rnacentral:rRNA from 8 species
GGCCCAGAUCGUUUACCGUGAAAAAAUUAGAGUGUUCAAAGCAGGCAGAUCCAAUUUUCUGCCACCGAAUACAUUAGCAUGGGAUAAUGGAAUAGGACCCUGUCCUCCUAUUUUCAGUUGGUUUUGGCAGCGCGAGGACUAGGGUAAUGAUUAAUAGGGAUAGUUGGGGGCAUUAAUAUUUAAUUGUCAGAGGUGAAAUUCUUGGAUUUAUGAAAGAUUAACUUCUGCGAAAGCAUCUGCCAAGGAUGUUUUCAUUAAUCAAGAACGAAAGUUAGGGGAUCGAAGACGAUCAGAUACCGUCGUAGUCUUAACCAUAAACGAUGCCGACCAGCGAUUAGGAGACGUUGAAUACAAAACACCACCAUCGGUGCGGUCGUCCUUGGCGUCGGUCUUUCGGGGCCGGCGCGGGGACGGCUUAGCCCGGUGGCACCGGUGAAUGACUCCCCUAGCAGCUUGUGAGA